rnacentral:rRNA from 1 species
AUUGAACGCUGGCGGAAUGCUUUACACAUGCAAGUCGAACGGCAGCACGGACUUCGGUCUGGUGGCGAGUGGCGAACGGGUGAGUAAUGUAUCGGAACGUGCCCAGUCGUGGGGGAUAACGUAGUGAAAAUUACGCUAAUACCGCAUACUAUCUAUGGAUGAAAGCGGGGGAUCGCAAGACCUCGCGCGAUUGGAGCGGCCGAUAUCAGAUGAGGUAGUUGGUGGGGUAAAGGCCCACCAAGCCAACGAUCUGUAGCUGGUCUGAGAGGACGACCAGCCACACUGGAACUGAGACACGGUCCAGACUCCUACGGGAGGCAGCAGUGGGGAAUUUUGGACAAUGGGCGAAAGCCUGAUCCAGCCAUUCCGCGUGCAGGAUGAAGGCCCUCGGGUUGUAAACUGCUUUUGUACAGAACGAAAAGGUUUCUACUAAUACUAGGAGCUCAUGACGGUACUGUAAGAAUAAGCACCGGCUAACUACGUGCCAGCAGCCGCCGUAA